rnacentral:rRNA from 1 species
UACGGGGGGGGCAAGCGUUGUUCGGAAUUACUGGGCGUAAAGGGCUCGUAGGCGGCCAACUAAGUCAGACGUGAAAUCCCCAGGCUCAACCUGGGAACUGCGUCCGAUACUGGGGGGCUUGAAUCCGGGAGAGGGAUGUGGAAUUCCAGGUGUAGCGGUGAAAUGCGUAGAUAUCUGGAGGAACACCGGUGGCGAAGGCGGCAUCCUGGACCGGUAUUGACGCUGAGGCGCGAAAGCCAGGGGAGCAAACGGG